GAUGAACGCUGGCGGCGUGCCUAAUACAUGCAAGUCGAACGAACGGACGAGAAGCUUGCUUCUCUGAUGUUAGCGGCGGACGGGUGAGUAACACGUGGAUAACCUACCUAUAAGACUGGGAUAACUUCGGGAAACCGUAGCUAAUACCGGAUAAUAUUUUGAACCGCAUUGUUCAAAAGUGAAAGACGGUCUUGCUGUCACUUAUAGAUGGAUCCGCGCUGCAUUAGCUAGUUGGUAAGGUAACGGCUUACCAAGGCAACGAUGCAUAGCCGACCUGAGAGGGUGAUCGGCCACACUGGAACUGAGACACGGUCCAGACUCCUACGGGAGGCAGCAGUAGGGAAUCUUCCGCAAUGGGCGAAAGCCUGACGGAGCAACGCGGCGUGAGUGAGGAAGGUCUUCGGAUCGUAAAACCCUGUUAUUAGGGAAGAACAUAUGUGUAAGUAACUGUGCACAUCGUGACGGUACCUAAUCAGAAAGCCACGGCUAACUACGUG
rnacentral:rRNA from 1 species